UGGGGAAUAUUGCACAAUGGGGGAAACCCUGAUGCAGCGACGCCGCGUGGAGGAAGAAGGUCUUCGGAUUGUAAACUCCUGUUGUUGGGGAAGAUAAUGACGUUACCCUCAGAAGAAGCACCGGCUAACUCCGUGCCAGCAGCCGCGGUAAUACGGAGGGUGCAAGCGUUAAUCGGAAUAACUGGGCGUAAAGGGCAUGCAGGCGGUUCAUCAAGUAGGAUGUGAAAUCCCCGGGCUCAACCUGGGAACAGCAUACUAAACUGGUGGACUAGAGUAUUGCAGGGGGAGACGGAAUUCCAGGUGUAGCGGUGGAAUGCGUAGAUAUCUGGAAGAACACCAAAGGCGAAGGCAGUCUCCUGGGCAAAUACUGACGCUCAUAUGCGAAAGCGUGGGUAGCAAACAGGAUUAGAUACCCUGGUA
rnacentral:rRNA from 1 species